rnacentral:lncRNA from 1 species
AUGACUUUGAUGCUAUGGGAUUUCUGUCACAUUGCCAGCACUGCAGUGGCCCUUGGAUCCACCACUCCAUUUGAACUACUCACGCAGCUCAUUUUGUUACAAAUCUUACAGAUGGGGAUGCUUCCAGUCUUUUCUAUCACCAGGUCAGCAGACCCCAGCCUCAACACUGGUGCUGAUGGAGUGAGGUUAGGAGCACCUAGCAUAUCAGCUGGCAUGGCUUCAAGAAUCACUGUUAUUUUUAUGAUAAUCUCAGGACCAACAAAUCACAUUAAUAAUUUAAUGAGGCAGCAGGGGAGCAGAAUAUGAGCCCAUUCAAACAAGAGAGACUUCGUGACUGCAAGUUCCUAUUCUCUCCUCACAGGAGGUAUAAACUCCAGCAGGUGUACAUCUGACAUGUGAGCAUAAGGUAACAUAUUCAUACCUAUUUACCACAUGGGAUACCAACUCAUUCUUGUGGUUUGGUUAU